AAAUAGGUUUUAUUUGAAACCACCAUGUUAUUUGGAAUAUAAUUU
rfam:Myotis davidii contig229430, whole genome shotgun sequence.